GCAGCCGUGGCCUACUGGUUAGCGCUUCGGACCUGUUACCGGAGGGUUGCCGGUUCGAACCCCGACAGCUGAA
rnacentral:tRNA from 1 species